AAGAGUUAAUUGGGCGAACAGACCAAUUCCUAUAAAUUUUUCUUUAUAGAUUAUUCUUAAUCCAACAUCGAGGUCGCAAUAUAUUUUGUAAAUGAGAACUUUUCAAAAAUUUUGCG
rnacentral:rRNA from 1 species